CCCGCUGUAGUUCAAUGGUUAGAAUAUGCGACUUAUUCAUUCCGCAUGAUCCAGGUUCAAGUCCUGGUAGCGGGU
rfam:Naegleria gruberi genomic scaffold NAEGRscaffold_85, whole genome shotgun sequence.